UACGGGGGGGGCAAGCGUUGUUCGGAAUUACUGGGCGUAAAGGGCGCGUAGGCGGUUUGAUAAGUCAGCUGUGAAAACCACGGGCUUAACUCGUGGCCUGCAGUUGAGACUGUCUGGCUUGAGUGUGGGAGAGGAGAGUGGAAUUCCUGGUGUAGCGGUGAAAUGCGUAGAUAUCAGGAGGAACACCGGUGGCGAAGGCGGCUCUCUGGACCACAACUGACGCUGAGGCGCGAAAGCUAGGGGAGCAAACAGG
rnacentral:rRNA from 1 species